rnacentral:rRNA from 1 species
CAUUACUGAAAGGACCAAGGAUUUGAGACUGCGUUCAAUGUAACGUGUGCUCGAUCCUUAUUCUUUUUAUCCACAUACACCUUUGUGCACCAUAAGGGGGAGGAUGUCAAAGUUCUCUUCUUUUUUCACAUAAACACGUAGUUAUAUGCAUGUAUAAUAGUUAUAACUCUAAGGAGUUUAUCUAUAACUUUCAACAACGGAUCUCUUGGCUUUCGCAUCGAUGAAAAACGCAGCGAAUGUGCGAAACGUAAUGUGAAUUGCAGAAUUCAGUGAAUCAUCGAAUCUUUGAACGCAUCUUGCGCUCCUUGGUAUUCCGAGGAGCAUGCCUGUUUGAGUGUCGCAUCAUACUCAGUUUCAAACCUUUGUUUUAAAGGUCUUGGAACUGGAUUUGGAUGUUGUUGUUGUCAAAGACGACUCGUCCUAAAUGCAUUAGUGAUCUGGCUAUUGAUCAUGAGCAAUGUAAUAAUUUAUUAACGUUGUCAAGAUCAACGGUAAAGAUGGCUUCUAACUGUCGAAAGACAAAAUGCUUUAUAUGCGGUUUGACCUCAAAUCAGGUAGGACUACCCGCUGAACUUA